rnacentral:rRNA from 1 species
CCUACGGGAGGCAGCAGUGGGGAAUAUUGGGCAAUGGAGGAAACUCUGACCCAGCGACGCCGCGUGCGGGAUGAAGGCCUUCGGGUUGUAAACCGCUUUCAGUAGGGAAGAAGCGAAAGUGACGGUACCUACAGAAGAAGCACCGGCUAACUAUGUGCCAGCAGCCGCGGUAAUACAUAGGGUGCAAGCGUUGUCCGGAAUUAUUGGGCGUAAAGAGCUCGUAGGUGGUUCGUCACGUCGGAUGUGAAAAUCUGGGGCUCAACCCCAGACCUGCAUUCGAUACGGGCGAUCUAGAGUGUGGUAGGGGAGACUGGAAUUCCUGGUGUAGCGGUGGAAUGCGCAGAUAUCAGGAGGAACACCAAUGGCGAAGGCAGGUCUCUGGGCCAUUACUGACACUGAGGAGCGAAAGCGUGGGGAGCGAACAGGAUUAGAUACCCUGGUAGUCCACGCCGUAACGGUAGAGCACUAGUGUGGUACCGUACCUACGGUUCGUGCGCGCAGCUACGACAUAAGUCGCCCGCCCGUCGGGUAGGUACGAGUCGCGAGAAGUUAAACGUUAACGUAAAGGUAAAGUUAGUUACGGGUCGUUGAGACGUUGCCGACGGCGACGACGAGGGGAGGUUAGG